AUUGAACGCUGGCGGCAGGCCUAACACAUGCAAGUCGAGCGGUAGCACAGAGAGCUUGCUCUCGGGUGACGAGCGGCGGACGGGUGAGUAAUGUCUGGGAAACUGCCUGAUGGAGGGGGAUAACUACUGGAAACGGUAGCUAAUACCGCAUAAUGUCGCAAGACCAAAGUGGGGGACCUUCGGGCCUCAUGCCAUCAGAUGUGCCCAGAUGGGAUUAGCUAGUAGGUGAGGUAACGGCUCACCUAGGCGACGAUCCCUAGCUGGUCUGAGAGGAUGACCAGCCACACUGGAACUGGGACACGGGCCAGACUCCUACGGGAGGCAGCAGUGGGGAAUAUUGCACAAUGGGCGCAAGCCUGAUGCAGCCAUGCCGCGUGUGUGAAGAAGGCCUUCGGGUUGUAAAGCACUUUCAGCGGGGAGGAAGGCGUUAAGGUUAAUAACCUUGGCGAUUGACGUUACCCGCAGAAGAAGCACCGGCUAACUCCGUGCCAGCCACCGCCGUAA
rnacentral:rRNA from 1 species